rnacentral:rRNA from 1 species
GACGAACCGAGCGAACGUUGUUCGGAAUCACUGGGCUUAAAGGGCGCGUAGGCGGGCUGUCAAGUCUGGGGUGAAAUCCCACGGCUUAACCGUGGAACUGCUCGGUAUACUGGCGGUCUUGAGCAACCUAGGGGCGAGCGGAACAAAUGGUGGAGCGGUGAAAUGCGUAGAUAUCAGGAGGAACACCUGCGGCGAAGGCGGGUUGCUGGGCCGACACUGACGCUGAUGCGCGAAAGCUAGGGGAGCGAACGGG